AGCUUUGCACAGUGGCAGUAUCGUAGCCAAUGAGGUUUAUCUGAGGCACGAUUAUUGCAAAUUAAAUAAAAUCUUUUAAAAAUUUUUAAAAAUUAGCAUGUAA
rnacentral:snRNA from 1 species